rnacentral:rRNA from 1 species
CCUACGGGAGGCAGCAGUGAGGAAUAUUGGUCAAUGGACGAGAGUCUGAACCAGCCAAGUAGCGUGAAGGAUGACUGCCCUAUGGGUUGUAAACUUCUUUUAUAUGGGAAUAAAAUGUUCCACGUGUGGGAUUUUGUAUGGACCAUAUGAAUAAGGAUCGGCUAACUCCGUGCUAGCAGCCGCGGUAAUACGGAGGAUACGAGCGUUAUCCGGAUUUAUUGGGUGUAAAGGGAGCGUAGGUGGAUUGUUAAGUCAGUUGUGAAAGUAUGCGGCUCAACCGUAGAAUUGCAGUUGACACUGGCAGUCUAGAGUACAGUAGAGGUGGGCGGAAUUCGAGGUGUAGCGGUGAAAUGCUUAGAUAUCACGAAGAACUCCGAUGGCGAAGGCAGCUCACUGGACUGCAACUGACACUGAGGCUCGAAAGUGUGGGUAUCAAACAGGAUUAGAUACCCUUGUAGUC